CACAGAUGCAGCUCAGAUUCUGCAUUGCUGUGACUGUGGCAUAGGCUGGAAGCUGCAGCUCUGAUUUGACCCCUAGCUUGGGAACUUCCAUAUGCCACAAGUGUGGCCUUAAAGGAGAAACAAAGAAUUUAAAUUUUAAUCUUAGUACAUGUAUUUAAGGAGAUAAAAUGAGCUGGUUUUUAACUUUCUUCUAUGGUUGCUGCCUGGCUCUUGUGCAGCUAUUACAGAACUGUGCUUAUGGUGACCACUGUUGGGAAGGCUAUCAUUACUGAUGGAAAAAAAAAAAAAUCUAAUGCAUUUGGGACUAGUAGUUGGUCAAAUAUUUUAAAAACUCAAAUGAACCAGGGAAUUAUUAAAACUGAUAAAAUUCAUACCUUAAAUAUUUAGUUAACUUCAAAUCCACAUUAUCUUGCCAGUUUUUUAAUCCAAGACCAAGGACUGCCUAAUGGAAUUCUUAAUUUUCUGUUAUUUGUAAACCAUACCCCAAAAAUGUAUCUAUAGUUUAUACUUUUUUUCUUUUCUUUUUCUUCUUUUGUGUGUGUGUGUGUGUGUGUGUGUGAAGCACGAACUCACAGCCAUUUGAUAUACAAUCCAAUGAGAUUCCUUUUAUAUGAUUUUUUUCCAUUUUUAUCAGUCUUGCAUACAGCUGAUAUUCAGCAAAAAUUUACUAAUUCACCUUUAUUGAGUAUUUCCAAAGUAGUCAAUUUAUAUUUUAUAGAAACAAUUCUUUCUUUUAAUAGACAUAUUUUAUGAGCUUAUAACAUUUAAUCAAAUUCUUUAAUCAUAAUAAUUAAGGCAAAACUGCAUAAAAGUUUUUGGAAACAAGCAAAAUGUAGUCUUGCUCCUCAAACAAGUCUAUUGUUGAAGCAGAAGUGCCAGGUUUGCCAUAGGAGUUGACUGUUAGCCAUGAUUGGUCAACCAGCUGUGGAUGUCAAUCAGCAUGUUUUAUAAAGAAAUCAGGGAGCUUUGAUGAAUCCAACCAGUGUGUUUAAAUGCAGGUCAGUUAAGAGCAUUUAAGUUGUGAUUCAUGUGUUUGGGUCUCUACCAGCAGUAAUAUGUGCAUACAGCUAUCUUCCCAUCUCUAUACGUGUUCCCUCUGAAAGGUAAGCUUUGUUAUGUAGUCUCCAAUCAUGGGAUAAAGAAAAAUCAUUUAUAGAACUCUAGAAGUGAAUUCCUGAUUUGCAAAAUUCUUUGGCACUUCCUGUGAAUUUUAAAUUGUCUCCCUGGUGGAUCUGGACACAUGCUGUUCAAUCACUGAAUCCCUGCUAUCACUGGGAUUUUAUUAGAACUGAUGUCUUAUGAUGAAUUAAUUAAUGGACUGAGCCGUUGUUAUACAUUUCAUAGCUUGAGUUUUUUUCAACUCAUGGCUCAAUUAACUCUUCUUGGUUUUGAGUAGGGUUUCUGAAUUCCAGGGAAAUCAUUUCCUGUGCUUGCUAAAGUCAAAGAUUUUUCCUUCUGUUUUUAAACAAAUUUAGAAAUAAAGGAGUUCUCUUGUGGUGCAGCAGGUUAAGGAUCUGGCAUUGUCAUUGCAGGAGCUUGGGGUCGCUGCUGGGGCACGGGUUCAACCCCUGGCCUGGGAAUUUCUACAUGCUGUGGGAAUGGCCAAAAAUUUGUUUAAAAAGAAAUAAAAAUAUACAUAAUACAUAUCUUUGCUCUCUUUUUUUCUUCUGAACCCAAACCACUCUUGUCAGAAUACUGAGCAUUAUUCCUCCUCAUCUCAAUACAUUUCAAGUAUUCCUUUUGAAAAACCUAGAUAGAAAAGAAAUAUUGAACAAAAUUUUAAAUGCAUUUUUAAAAAUCUGAUCACUAGAUAGUCUCUCCAAAUUAUCCAUUUAUCAUAAGUGCAAAUAGUUGAGACUAUUAGAAAUUUUUCAGACUGAAAAUUUCUCUCUUUAACUUUUUAGGUCCUAACUCGUGGUUUCUCUUCCUUCAUAACUUGCUUAGUUUUUUUUUUUUUUUUUUUUGGUAUGUUUGCUUUUCCUUCGUUAUACCCUUAAGAAUUUCUCUUUGGAAUUAGAUGUAUUUGUUCUGCCUCUGUCCUCUCUAUGAAGUCAGUGGCGAGCUCACACACGUCUCUUUGCUGAUGCUUAGCACAGUGUUUUAACUGAAAGGGGAAAGGCGUAUCCAUGUAUAAAGCCUCCUCAAAUGUGCUAUUGAUAAUGCCUUUGAUAUUUUAAAAUGCCAUAUUUCUCUUCUUUUACUACAUAUAAUAUUUUAUUUUACAAUAUCUCUCUAUAUGUUCUACAUGAAUAUAUAAGCACACAUAUGCAUUUGAGUUUAUGUAUAAAUGAAAGGAGGCAAAAAUGCCAUGAUUUUGAGCUCCCAGGCAGCAGCUCUCUUCAAGUUCUAGAGCAUUUUAAAAUAUGUCUUUAAAAUGUUGGGAUUUUUGAAUUGUUUGUACAAGCUAGUUUCUAUCCUUUAUCAUAGUCUUACAUUACUUGAAAUUUGUAAAAGGCCUCAAACUAUCCAUGUAGAAUCCGAUGGAUUUGAAGUGCACUUAGGCUGAUUGACACUAAGAUUCACCAGUGAGAAGAUGUGAUUUUUCUCCCACAUGGAGAACUCAAGGAAAUCUUGAAAUGACAUAUUUCAAGGUAAUGCUAUGAGUGUUUCCUUUCUGCUUAGAAUGGCUAUUUAUAGUUGGUUCAAUUAAUUCCUAGAGCGUGCAGGGCAAAGAAUCCUUUUAUCCUCUCACCCUAUACAGCUAAGGGUAUGGUCUGUGCUGAGCUAGAGCAAACUUUAAAGCUGAUCAAACUUCUAAGCAAAAUCCUAUAUUAUGAUUAGUGAUGGACCCAAUCCUGUGAAGUGAAUAGAGGUGAAGAAAUCACAAAAGGUUCCAAGGUUGGAGUUGGAUGAAAGAAUCCAAAGGCUGAACUGUGUAUCUAAGCCUUAUCUAAGCCCCCUUGGUGGCUGGAAUUGGGUCUGAAAUCUUGUUAGGACACACCUUCUCAGGAGAUUUUAUGCCUUUUCUCAUUUUAGUCAGGUCAGAUGAGCCGAGAGAGCAGUUUGCUGGUUCAAAAGCACCAAGGGACAUAUGACAGAAAUUACAGACAUAGCCUCUAGGAUUGGCGAGCAGGGUUCAGGUGUCAGGACCACUUCAAAGCCUGUGGGACUCUUUGGACCGAAUUAUUAGCAGAGAGAAAUAUAUAAAAAUAAUUUUAUAAACUAUAAAGUCACUUACAUGUAAUUAUAGAAGACAAGGCUACACUGAGUAGCCAAUAAGAUGAAUUUCACUUUCACAGAACAGCGAAAAAGAAUUUAAAAAAGAUGAAAAACAUAGUUUUUAGUGAUUUGGGUUCAGAAAAAAAAUAAUGUGAAAGUGUGUGUUUCUUUUUUUUCAUUUCUAAAUAUCUGCAAAAAUUGGAGAAUCAAGUGUUGACUUUAUCAGGCACAGGAGAUGGUUUCCCUGGAAUUCAAAAGCAAUGGGGCUGCUGCAGGCACUUUUUUCCAAGUUCAUUCCUGUAUGAAUGAGGAUAUGUGACACCCACUCCUAUCAUGGUGUGAUGUGAUUAUCAAUUAAACGUAAGUUUGUUUUGUUUUGUUAUAUUUUACAUAGUCUUCAUGCAAUUUUAGAAGGGCGAUUUAUUUGACCCAUUAGAUUACAUUAAAAUAUAUGGAUUAAAGAAGUCUUCAUAACUCAAAUUUGGUUAGAAAUGAUGGCAAACAUGAUUAGUUUUAAGGUGUAAUUAUGCCUUGGCAGGAGUUCCCAUGGUGGCGUAGCAGAAACGAAUCCAACUAGUAUCCAUGAGGAUGUGGGUUCAAUCCCUGGCCUCGCUCAGUGGGUUGGGGAUCAGGCAUUGCCCUGAGCAUGAACCGUGGUGACAGAAAAGUCUUAGAUCCCACAUUGGUGUGGCUGUGCAUAGGCCAGCAGAUGUAGCUCCAAUUUGACUGCUAGCUGGGGAACCUCCAUGUUCCACGUGUAUGGCCCU
rnacentral:lncRNA from 1 species